CAGUUUUCGACGGCGGAGGAUGUCAUUAAAGGUUCUCAGCACAUGGUUGCGACGCAGAUCUCUCGCGAACCUCUAGUCCGACAAUGCGUGAGGCAGACAUACUACGAACGAGCCAAGAUCCAUAUUGCACCCACGAAGAAGGGAAAGAAGGAAAUUGAUGAAAAUCAUAUGCUCUACUCGCUGAAGUAUAUCAAGAACAAGCCAGUGAAGGAUCUAAAGGGUGAUCAGUUCCUAAAGAUGUCCAUGGCAGAGCUGA